rnacentral:lncRNA from 1 species
GGGCCGGGAGCCCUCCUUCCGUCCCCUCGUAGGCUGCUCGUACUGCCGCCCGCUUACAGAGGGGAAAACCGGGGCGCUCAGCAGACUUCUCCACACUGUUCAAGACCCUGCCCUGGGGAGCCCUCCCUGCUCUGUGGCCACUGCCCAGCCCAGGUCUCACCAUAGCAUCUGGUCCCCAGCAGGCUGAGCCCCCUGAGGCUCGGGGUCAGGUCUGUGCCGACUUUGCAGCCCUGCGACAGUGGAUUCUCAUUAAACGCUUCCUGAGAGCAAAGACAUGAGGGCUGGAACCUGGCUCCCCUGCAUGCAGACUACAUCUGCCAGGUGCGGUGCUAGGAGAGGCAGAUGGUUACGUUUUCACCAGAGCCACCUGCCCACAGAGACCUGGGAUAAUAGGGGCCAAAGGUGGCCCAUCAGCUCAGAAACCUGUAAUUCCGCACAUGCCCAACCAUCCACAGGGACCGGAAGGAGCCGAGCAGACGCCAGCGGAAACCCACAGAUGUUUGCAAUUGACAACAGACCCAUCAGCAGAUGUCCUUAAAGAAUUUGCCGGCACCUGCUGCCUGUUUACCAACGCUCCCUCCAUGAAGUUCACCUUCAGCUCACGGUGACCAUCGCCGCCGCCGCCGCCACUGGGGCCCCAAGUCGGGGAUGCCUAGCUCGGGUGGCCCCUUGCUCUAGCCCCCAAGGACAGUCACUUGACCUCUCUGAGCCAGAGAUGCUGCAUGUGUGAAGGAGAAGUGGUAACGCUCACCUCCUAGGAUGGCGGUGACGAUUCGAAAUGAAAACGUCUAGGGCCCUUGGCGUGGGGUCAGCUCCAGGUAGGUGCCCGGUCAGUGGCAGCUGUCGUGAUUCCUCACCUCUUAGCCUCCGUUUCCCCAGCUGGGUUUGGACAGGGCUUAUCUAGAUCAGUGGUUCUCAGUUGGUGGUGAUUUUACCCCCCAGCUGUGGGGCAAGGGGCGCUGCUGGCAUCAGGUGGCGUCGGAGAUGCUGCCAACGUCCGACAGGGUGCAGGACAGCCACGCACAGCGGGGGAUUGUCCAGCCCCAAAUGUCCACAUGAUCUGUAUUAAGAAACCCUGGACUAAGCUCAUCUCUGCGUUUCCCUCGCAGUAGAGGAAGUUUGGGUUGGGUCUGUGUUGCCUUGUGCUGGGAGGGGUCUGGAGCAUCCAGGCUUUCAACCCCGAUGUGGCCCCGUAGACUGGACCUCGGGCCUGGGACACUUCCUCCCAGGAGGCAAAGAGGCCCCUCAGCCUCAAAGCCUCAUGUGGGGACCUUGUUCCUGUUUCAGGCCCAACGUGUGCACGUUUGUCUGACUUAAGUGUGUGCAUGUGUCACGGGGCGCCUGGCUAGCCUCACUGCUGUAUUGUCCACUGUGGGGAGGGGACAGGGUCCUGUGUUCAGUGACACAGGAGGGGUGCAUGGAUCAACUGCUGGGAGGGACCCGCUGGCUGUGGGGGACCGGAUAGAGCUAUUAGCAUGUGGUGUAUUGUCUGUUUCCCGCCCCCGCCUCAUACGUCAGUCAACUACCAAUGACUGUAUGAUGGUUGCACAGCUCUGAAUGUACUAAAAAUCAUUGAAAUGUACACUUUAAAUGAGUUGAUUGUAGGGUGUGUGAAUUAUAUCUCAAUGCAUCUGUUAGAAAAAAAAAAAAGUGGAUUCCAAGGUGCUUAGCUGAGCCAGGUUGUAUUCAGGGUAUUUCCUUAAAAGCCACACGUUUGGCCUCCAGGGGGCCGUGUUCGGCUGGUGAGACAUCGACAUUUUUCCUUCUGUGCUGCUUGCAGUUACCUAGAUUCCUUCAUCUGCCUGUCUCCCAUCUGGCGCCAAGAUAUCACGUGAUCUCCAUAUGCUGCCUCAAGUUGCCAGGGUGCCUCGACUGUGUCCCUGUCCGCCUCCAGGCCAUCCAUUCCUCAGAAUCAGUCUCUCACUCCAGCUGCGGUUACUCUUGCGAAGAGCCUCCGGGGGGAGUGUCCGUUGUGGCUCAGUGGAUUAAGAACCUAACUGGUAUCCAUCAGGGUGCGGGUUUGAUCCCUGUCCUCGCUCAGUGGGUUAAGAAUCCAGCAUUGCCUGAGGCAAGCUGUGUAAGUCACAGACAUGGCUCGGAUCCCAUGUUGCUGUGGCUGUGGUGUAGACCACCAGCUGUAGUUCUGAUUCAACUCCUAGCCUGGGAACCUCCAUAUGCCGUGGGUGCGGCCCUAAAAAGCAAAAAAACAAAAAAAGGCCUCCUGGGGGUGGGGGAUCAGGGCAAGCAAGAGGCUGUACCAUGAAUAGAAGGGUUUUAAUGCGGGGACCAGCUACACAGCUGCUGGGAUUGUCAGAGGCCUGGGAACCUGGGGCAGGAGGGUGGCUGCAACCUGGUGCCCUUGACCUGGAGGUCACACGGUAGGUCUGCUCACCUGCUCCUGACCAACUGUGCAGAAGCCAAGAGUCUCGAGACCAGAGUUCCCGUUGUGGCCCAGCGGAAAUGACUAGGAACCACGAAGUUGCGGGUUCAAUCCCUGCCCUUGCUCAGUGGGUUAAGGAUCUGGUGUUACCAUGAGCUGUGGUGUAGGUUGCAGAUGUGGCUUGGAUCUGGCGUUGCUGUGGCUGUGGUGUAGGCCAGUAACUGUAGCUCUGAUUUGACCCCUAGCUUGGGAAUCUCCAUAUGCUGCCUCAAGUGUGGCCCUAAAAAAAAAAAAAAAAA